UACGGGGGGGGCAAGCGUUGUUCGGAAUUACUGGGCGUAAAGGGUUUGUAGGUGGCUUGUUAAGUCAGACGUGAAAUCCCUCAGCUUAACUGGGGAACUGCGUCUGAUACUGGCGAGCUUGAGUGCAGGAGAGGAACGCGGAAUUCCAGGUGUAGCGGUGAAAUGCGUAGAUAUCUGGAGGAACACCGGUGGCGAAGGCGGCAUCCCGGACCGGCAUUGACGCUGAGGCGCGAAAGCCAGGGGAGCAAACGGG
rnacentral:rRNA from 1 species